ensembl:lncRNA
AUGGCCUGGAAGCAGGGACCACCUACUGCAUCAAGGGCACCGCCUGGGACUCUGAGGGAAAAGCUGGAGACGACCUCACCGUCUGCCAGAUCACACGUAAGAACGACGGGACGUAGGAGAGGAGCGUGGCAGGUGGUGUUACUCAACUCUGGUUUCACUCGCAGGUCCUCCGAGACCAAAUGUGACCUUCGUCCUGGUCUCUCCGGGUCGGUCCCUUGGGAUCGAUGUGUACUGGGCGGUGGUGCAGGGGGCGGAGACAUACGUGGUCCGGACCACUGCCGGCCAGAACUGCUCUUUAACAGUCAACAGCCACUGUUACAUUACACCCGUGGAGUGCGGCCAGAACCAAUCAGUCACCGUCAAAGCCUACAACAGUGCCGGCUCCAGCGAGGCCUCGCAACCAGUAGACUUCAUUACAUAUCCAUGUCCCCUGGAGAACAUCUGGGUGGAGGAGCCCGUCGCCGGGAACUGCUCAGUGGUGUGGGAGGAUGUUCCCCUGGUGGAGCACUACAUGGCUUUUAUAAAGAGGGACGACGGGAUGGAGAAGUCGUGCAACACCACCGGAACCACAUGUUCAUUUCCCUGCUUGUGUGGCUACAGCUAUCUCACCACCGUCUUCCCCUACAACCAGGCCGGCUCCAGCCCUUACGCGCAAGUCCGCAACUACACCACCAUUCCCUGUUGCCCUCAGGACGUCACCGUGAAGCUGGUUUCCACAGAGACGCUGGAGGUCACGUGGCCGGAGGUCAAAGGGGCCGAGCUCUACGAGACGACGGCGGCACAGACCAACGACGUCAUCCACUGCAACGACACGGCGGCCGUGUGCGCGCUGUCCGAUCUGAGGUGCAACACGGCUUAUUCUGUGACCGUCACCCCUUGCAGCGAGCUACGAGGAUGCAACCGCACAUGCGCGGCGAGCACACAUGAGACAGCUCCGUGCGCUCCAGAGAUCCUGAACGUGACGCAGACCGACAACUCCACGUUCAC